UCCAAAGACUCAUAUUUCGUAACAUACGAAUCACACUGUGUCACACAUGGAAAUUAAAAUGACAUGAAAUGCAAGUUUGGGUGCCUAUAAAUAAAGUUGCCUUGGAACAUGGCCAGGCACGUUCAUUUGCAUAUUAUCUGUGGCUGCUCUCAGGAAACAACAGCAAAGUCCUCUCGUCAGCGACUCUGUGGCCACCGAAGUCUGAACCAUUGACUGGCCAGCCUGUCAGGAAAUGUUUGGCCGCUCUUGCUGCGGAGCUUUAGGAAAAGCACGUGUUUAUUUUGGCUGAGUUAGCGACGGGGAGUAUAUCCUGUCAGAGGACAGCCUGCAAGAGUCAGCCCUCUCCUCCCACCGCGUGGUUCUGAGAAGAAGCACCUUUACCUCACGAGCUGUCUUGAGGACCCGUGAUGGCCUCUUCGCAGAGACUUCGAAUCCAACAUUGUGACCCUCUGGGCGUCUGAGGACGGUCUGAUCUGCUUUACGUUGAGCCCGCUCGGUGUCCAGCUCUACCCAAGUAAAAACAAGCAAACGUGAGCGCUUGUCUCUCCAUCAAGUGUAGGCUGAUGGGAACCGGGGCCCAGUCGUUAAAGACCUGAAUGUUUUGCCUCAUCAGAAGAAGUCCGAACAGUUUGGGGUCAGCUCAGGUCUUCUGGCAUUCAGAGGCCCUCUCCUUCGGUGACUGUGGGCAUCCUGACUGGAAAAGGCUUCCUUUUGCCUCUUAGCUCACCGCAGAGAAACACGGGCAUGGUGAGAAUUGGCCUCUCCCUCUUGGGAUGUACUGUGGAAUGACAGUGAACGCCCAGACACAAGGAAUGAGCACCCCAGAGAGGAGGAGUAAUCGAGCCGACAGUGUGCCGGUUGGCAGGGAAUACAAGCCUUGGGGUCUACAGCAUCAGCCUGCUGGCCUCCCUGUCCGUGCCUUAAGUGCCCUGGCUGUCCUGGAACUUGCUUCGUAGACCAGGCUGGCCUUGAACUCAGAGAAAUCCAACUCUCUCUGCCUCCCAAAUGCUGGGUGUGCACAAUUACAGCAGCUGAAUAGAUGAAGACAAUACUCUCCGAUGAGAGAUGGCAGAAGUUGGCUCCCUGUCUCCAGACAUGCACAGUCAGAAAAGGCCACAUCUGUGGUGAGAAGAUGAUGGGAUUCAGCUAAUUUCCGGAGCUGGAGGGAAGACUCAGAAAUAACACGUGCGUGCAUACGUGCAGGCUGUGUACACGCGACAGGGAGAAGACCGACCUUGGUAACACCGCCUCAAGACAGGUUUUCAAUGUCAUCUUUCCAAGAAGACAGUGUCAUUCACAUUUCCACCUGGACUCAGCAUCCUCCAACAAGGUCUUUCCGACAAGUGUGUCACUAUCUGGUUCUUAUAAACAUCCCCUUGAAGGGGGGGGGGGCAUCCUAAUGUCCAUCGGCAAAAGCAAGAAGGCACUAGCGAAGCCUGUCUCAUUGGUGGUACGUUUUAGAAACCUCCCAGUAAUGAGCCUUUUUGUUACUCAAGUAAAAUGUUUUUGGAACAUGGAGACACAAAAUAAAAUACACACUCUCUGGGUAUGUUCACACACAAAAUUGCUGGGCUUGAGAGAGCAGUAAUAUUUUGCUAAAAGUCACUGUGGUGAGGGUCAACAGGGCAGAUAACAGAGAGACAGGUCCCCGCUGAGGUGGAAUUUCCACACAGCCUCACCCCUGUUUGUCUCUAAAUAUACCCUGUCGUUACUUAGCCUGGAAAUUUUAGAUGUAAGCGCACUGGGGGAUCAGCUUUGCUUCCCCAAAGUCAGAAGCAUCAUGAAGAAUGGUGCCACCGUUCAAUACCAUGAAAGAAUCAUGAAGAGUGUCGUUGUAAUUAAGCCAAUAGUUGUAAUGUCCCUCGGACGCUGCAGUACAACUUAAAAGCAUGGAAGUGGAAGACUGAGGUGGAAAAAGAAGUACAGGGAAUUAUAGACAAGAGUUAAAUACUGAUGUGAUGAAUGGAGAUUGGUACUGUCCAGCUCAGAUGUCCUCCAGGAAGAAAGAAUGGUACUUCCUGAAGGCAUAGGGAGACUGGGUAAACAAAACAAAACAACAAAACAAACAAACAAAAAAAAAACCCUAAGUAGAGAGGCCAUCACAGGUUUCUGAGCACCUGUGAGCUACAUCAGGAGGGGGAAAGGACAAAUCCACACUCUCAGGCAGGUACCUGAGAAUUACAAAUCCCUGUCCUGCUGUCCCCAUAACCCUUGAAUGUCCAGGCACCACAUCGAAACAGUAGCAUUUCUGGGAUUGGGAAGGUAGCUAAAUUUGUAGAGUGUUUGACUAAUCUGGAGGAGUCCCAGGAUUCACUUCACAAAACUAGGUUUGGUGGUACAAGCCUACAAUCCCAGCCUUGUAAAAUGGAGGUAGGGGACUCAGAAGUUCAAGCUCGUGCUCAGCUCUCUAGUGAACUCAAGGCCAACCUGGACUACAUCAGACCCUGUCUCAGACAAAUCAGCAACAAGACAAACAAAGAGGGGAUUUGUUUCUCCAGUCUGAAGUACCAGAUCUGGCCAACAUGCCAGGUGACAAGAGGUAGAGGCAGGACAGAGAACUCAAAGACGUGAGCAGAACUGUACCUGCUCUUCCAAGCACUUUGUCUGUCAUAGGGUGAUCAGUGGGGCUCUGUCAUCAUUCCUUUUAAGUGUCAGUCUAUCUUUGAGAUAUUUAAUUUGUUCAAUUGUUUUAUGCAACUUAUGUUACUAUGGCUUUGUUGUAUAUUUUAAUAACCAAAAGGGCCCUUUAUUUUACUUGUGUUUCCUUUGUAAUAUUGACUUGGCUAUUGUGCAAAAGGCUUUUGCUGAGUCUUCGUUUUUUCAAAAUUUUAUUGAGUACCUACAAGGAAACAUAGUGGGAAGAAUCAUAAUCCCUAGAACAUUAAACUGUUCAUGAAUAAGCAUAUUUAUUGCUAUCACUUUAUAUAUUAUUUAUUAGAGACUAAGUUCGAUUCCAUGGUGACCUGAUAUAGUCCUAGUUUAGUCAAUUUCCAGGUUACACUGUUUUUGCUGCCUUUGUAACGACAUCUUUUUUACUAUGACUUUAUUUCCUGGAUGAAGUCAAUGUUAAACAGAAGCAUUAUACUUGUUUCUUAAU